GUGAGGAAUAUUGCGCAAUGGAGGCAACUCUGACGCAGCCAUGCCGCGUGCAGGAAGAAGGCGCUACGCGUUGUAAACUGCUUUUAACCGGGAAGAAACCCCAGGACGUGUCCUGGGUUGACGGUACCGGAGGAAUAAGCACCGGCUAACUUCGUGCCAGCAGCCGCGGUAAUACGAAGGGUGCAAGCGUUAUCCGGACUCAUUGGGUUUAAAGGGUGCGUAGGCGGAGCGUUAAGUCAGUGGUGAAAUCCUGCAGCUUAACUGUAGACUUGCCAGUGAUACUGGCGCUCUUGAGUGCGCUUGAAGUGGGCGGAAUGUGCCGUGUAGCGGUGAAAUGCUUAGAUAUGGCACAGAACACCAAUUGCGAAGGCAGCUCACUAAGGCGAUACUGACGCUGAGGCACGAAAGCGUGGGGAUCGAACAGGAUUAGAAACCCUUGUAGUCC
rnacentral:rRNA from 1 species